rnacentral:lncRNA from 1 species
UCCUCGUCAGGAGGAGCGGCCGGGUGCCGGAAUCGUAGAACCUACUGCAGACUGCCAUGAGGUCUCCUCACAGCCUCCCCACGGCGGCUGAGCAGAUCCGCCCAUCCCGCUGUCCGACCCGCAGGCACUGCUGGACUUCUGCCUUGUGUUCUCAAUGCCGCGCCUGCUUUGGGCCCGUUGGAUCCAGAAAGAUGAGCCUCUCUGCACCCGGGAUGGGAAAACACACGUUAUGGUGCUGAGAUGUACGGGCAGCAGGUGAUCAGGCAGAAGGACGGCGACAGUAAUGCCCAGCUUCCCUCUCUGCAGUGACGCAGUGAGUCUGGAAACCCAACUCCCACAAAAUUGCCUUUGGUCCGUGGAAAUGUCUGAGAGCACUUUGGCUGUCUGAGGAACUCCCCGGGCAGCCUCAGUUGUUGUUUGCCAUGUGGGCAGCCUGGCCAUUUGAAUGAAGCCCAAGAAGGACAGGUGGGAUGGAAAGGCCGCGUGCAUUGUGUUCAUCCCCUGCUGCACAGCCACCGCUGGGCCCAUUUUGCACUCUCAUCAGUUCAGACAUGCAAAUAAAGGGUGUGUACCUUUCAUUUGUAUGCUGUAGUUUUAAAUAUGAGCCACACAUGAAAAUUGCAUGAAAAACAUCUUUUCAGGCUAGCAGCAAGCCCUUGGCGUGGAUUAAAGGCAGGGUCACCUUAGC